rnacentral:siRNA from 1 species
UAACCCCCUUGUCGCGCAUGUG